rnacentral:rRNA from 1 species
GAUGAACGCUGGCGGCGUGCCUAAUACAUGCAAGUCGAACGAUGAAGGAGGAGCCUGCUCCCCUGGACGAUUUGCGCACGGGUGAGUAUAACGCAGGUAACCUGUCUGUUUACGGGGGAUAAAUCUUGGAAACGCCAGCUCAAAUCCCAUGACAACAGUUAUAGCACGAUAACUGUUAAAAAAGGGCAACUGUUCUACUACUAGAUGGUCCUGCGUUGUAUUAUGUAGUUGGUGAGGUAACGGCUCACCAAGGCGACGAUACAUAGCCGGCCUGGGAGGGGGAUCGGCCACACUGGGACUGAGACACGGCCCAGACUCCUACGGGAGGCAGCAGUAGGGGAUCUUCGGCAAUGGACGGAAGUCUGACCGAGCAACGCCGCGGGAGUGAAGAAGGUUUUCGGAUCGUAAAGCUCUGUUGUAAGGGAAGAACGAGUGUGGGAGUGGAAAGUUCACACUGUGACGGUAUCUUACCAGAAAGGGACGGCUAACUACGUG